ensembl:lncRNA
GAUUUCAAUCAUCCAGACUAUCAAAGAAGCUCUUUAUAUGUUUCAUCCACAUAAGAGCGGUAGUGAAUAUAUUAAGAUGUAUAAUAAAAGCAGAAGAGGACCUAAAAUGUAAUGUUGCAUUUACUGGAACCUGGUAAUCCAUCAUAUAUAUAUAUACACACUGUGGUGGAUACUCCUAAUAAACAACCAAAGGAUCCAAUAUUGAGAUCAGUGUGUGUCCAUGUGAUCCCUGCGAGCCAAAAGAUCUGUAAAUGCUAAGUUUGAAUUUAUUUCUACUCUUUGAUCUGCAAGAUGUCCUUAACAUGGUGAUCUCAGGGACACAGCAACUCCACCCGUCUGCUGUUCAAAGCCUUUUGGUUUUGAGGGGCAGCCAGAAGAAAGUUGGCUUGAGGGGAGCGAAGGAACUGCACCAAAGCUGAGUAUAACAAUUAUUUAGAACUGUGAAUCAUGCAAAGCUACUGUAGUAAAGUCCAAAACUGAAAAUAGGGAGGUAGAAAAGAACAUAAUAGGCCUCAUUCAAGGCAAACUCAAGUGGUUAUAUUGUUAUGGUUGUUUAAUUACCAAUUAGAUAUUGGAUUAGAUACUUACCAGGACUUUAAUUACAUCCUUCUAACUGUAUAUUAACACCAAUAUCUAAUUGGUUAAUCACAUAGACAAGUUCAAACAGAAUCAGAAUGAGGUCAUUUAAGUAAUGCUGAACAUGUCAUUGUUGUUGGUGCCAGACGUGCUGGGCUGAGUAUUUCAGAAACUGGCGAUCUGCUGGGAUUUUCCCCAAAAACCAUCUCUAAGUUUUACAGAGAUUGGUCUGAAAAGGAGAAAAUACCCAGUGAGCAGUAGUCCUCUGGGAGAAAAUGCCUUGUUAAUGGCAGAGGUCAGAAGAGAACUCAAACUCAAAUAAUCACUUUAUGUUACGUUAUAACCAAAAUCUGCAGAAGAGCACCUAUCUGGUCUACAGCAGCAGAAGACCACACCAGGUGCCAUCAGAGAAUGGGAAAACUUAGGCUACAGUUCACACAGGCUCAUCUAAAUUUGACCACAGAAAUUUGGAAAAUGUUGCCCGGUUUGAUGAGCCUCAAUUUCUGCUCCAACAUUUGAAUGGUAGGGUCAGAAAUUGGCAUAAACAGAAUAUAAACAAAGCACAGUUCUAUCUUACCUUUGUAGCCUAUCGGCAGUACGUGCUGCUGGUAGUGUGCAGUGGUGUGCGGGAUAUCUUCUUGCCAAACUUGGCUCCCUCUUGUGCCAACUGAGCACUAGUUAAAACACCAAGUAUUGCUACUGACCAUAUCAUCCUCAUAACUACAUAGUAGCUGUCAUCUGAUGGCUCUUCCAGCUCUGAGGGAUAACAAGCCUCCAACUAUGUAAGGCUGUCAUGUAGAAAUGAACCAAAAUCUGUGAGGAAUGUUUCCAGGCUCUUGCUGAGUCUAUGCCACAAAGAAUUAAUGUUUUACAUAAGUACUACUUGGUACUAGCAAGGUGUACCCAAUAAAGUAUCUGACAAGUGUACAAAUAACUUUUCACACAGGGCUGUGUUUAUCUUAAUCUGUAGAGGUUUACCAAAAAGACAGUAGUGUAGUAGUAGUAGAACAAAAGUCCCACUCCUUACAUUUAAAAUUUCUCUCCAGCUUCUAAUUACAAAACUAACAAUCCAAUGCUUUAAUUGGUGGAGAAAUGGCAUCUAGUUUAAUCUGAUUUCAUACCGUGUGAAGUCACUGGGCCAUCAAAAUCGGAAACUCGCUGCCAGCUCUGAUACCCUUUGCCUUUGUCUUACCCUCAAUGGCUCACUCGCGUAGAAUAUAAUUUCAAUAUACGCACAUCAUACAUUAGUAUGAAUAAUUAACAAUAAGGAGGGAGGGGAAAGGGACUGUUGUUUCUCCAUAAGUGUUUUUUCUUGCCAUUUCCUCCAAGUUAUCAUCACAUUGUUGUGGUACCGUGAUGACUAUUAUUGCUCUUGCUGAAAAUUGUGAUAGUAAAACUCUGCAGAUGAUGAUCGUUCUGUUGCUCUGUUAUGAAUGUGGCGUACACUGAGUCCUCAGAGGGGAGAGAAACAACUCGACAAGCUGAAAUGAAGCAAUAUCAAUCCCUGCCCGAGACCUCUCGGCAUUAAAGCAUGCACACUGACAGUCUCUUACAUUACGCCGGAGCAAUAAUGUAGCUCACUUGUAGCAUUUGCUGUCUGAUUUAAUAAACUAUGUCAUUUAUUGGUUGUUGCCGACUUUGUACGAGCCUCACUGCGUCAGACUUCCACAGAUUUUAAUGCAGUUAUUUUGUGUCUUUAAAAUGUAUUUAGUAAAAAUUUUAUGUAUUUUUUAAAAUUCUUAAAUUUUCCAGGGUAAUCAAAUUAUCUCUGACUGUUGACAUUCUCUAUUAGAGCAGAACAUAAGUGAAA